rnacentral:rRNA from 1 species
GACGUAGGGCGCGAGCGUUGUCCGGAUUUAUUGGGCGUAAAGAGCUCGUAGGCGGCUUGUCGCGUCGACUGUGAAAACUUGGGGCUCAACCCCAAGCUUGCAGUCGAUACGGGCAGGCUAGAGUUCGGUAGGGGAGACUGGAAUUCCUGGUGUAGCGGUGAAAUGCGCAGAUAUCAGGAGGAACACCGAUGGCGAAGGCAGGUCUCUGGGCCGAUACUGACGCUGAGGAGCGAAAGCGCGGGGAGCGAACAGG